AAGAUCAAAGUGGUUAAGUAGUAACCAUGCAUACUGUUUUUGUUUUUCCUGUUUUCGCAUUUUGUAAUGAUCGCUGAUAUUUUUCACAUAGGACGAGAUGGACGCGAUGGAACAGUUGGAGCAAAGGGAGAGAAAGGUGAAUCAGGCAUGUGUAGUGGGAAUGGAAAAGGUGGCAUCAAGGGUGAGAAAGGAUCUGCUGGACAAAAAGGAUCA